rnacentral:lncRNA from 1 species
UAAAAUAUUUGCAGAAGAAGAGCAAAACAAAAAAAGAGGGAGAGAAAAAGAAUUUUAUAUCUAUGUUCAAUCACAUUCAGUACAUCUCAGGAGUUAUAUAUACUAGUGUAUAGAUUAUAUACAAGAAAAAUAAUAUAGGCUGAUAUAGGAUCACGCCAACAAAGAAAAAUAUUACUGCGAUUUCUAAAAUUACUCUAACAAGAUCACACCAACAAAAAAAAAAAAAUACAGACCGAUAUAGGAUCAUGCUAAGAAAGAAAAAUAUUAUGAACCGAAAAAGAUUGUUACGUGAUCUCUAAAAUUAUAUUAACAUCCCCUCUCAAACUCAAGAUGGUACUAUAGGUGCCAACUUGAGCUUGAAAACUAGAUCACGAAUGUACCUAAAUUGAUGUACUAGCUGACGUGAUAGACUAAGAGCUGAUAUAGCAGCUUAGAGGUUGACAUGGUGGUAGAUCAAGAGCUGACGUGGCAAUACAGAGUCUGAUGUAGCAGAACAUGAGCUGCUAUAGCAGCUCAGAAGCUGAUGUAGCAGAUUAGGAGUUGUUAUGGCAGGCUAAUGUGACAAUUCAGAAUCUGAUAUAAU